rnacentral:rRNA from 1 species
CCGUAACUAUAACGGUCCUAAGGUAGCGAAAUUCCUUGUCGGGUAAGUUCCGACCUGCACGAAAGGCGCAACGACUUGGGCGCUGUCUCGACCAUGGACCCGGUGAAAUUGCACUGGUCGUGAAGAUGCGACUUACCCGCGGAAGGACGGAAAGACCCCGUGAACCUUCACUGCAGCUUGGCAUUGGCCGCUGGUCCCGCGUGUAGAGGAUAGGCAGGAGGCAUCGAUCCGGAGGCGCCAGCCCCCGGGGAGCCGCCCUUGGAAUACUGCCCUCGCGCGACCGGCGUCCUAACCCGAGGCCGUCAACCGGCUCGGGGACCGUGCCAGGCGGGCAGUUUGACUGGGGCGGUCGCCUCCUAAAGGGUAACGGAGGCGCGCGAAGGUCCGCUCGGGACGGUCGGCAACCGUCCUUUUGAAUGCAAGAGUACAAGCGGGCUUGACUGCGAGGCCCACAAGCCGAGCAGGUGCGAAAGCAGGCUCUAGUGAUCCGGCGGCCCCGAGUGGGUGGGCCGUCGCUCAACGGAUAAAAGGUACUCCGGGGAUAACAGGCUGAUCUUGCCCAAGAGUCCACAUCGACGGCAAGGUUUGGCACCUCGAUGUCGGCUCAUCGCAUCCUGGGGCUGGAGCAGGUCCCAAGGGUACGGCUGUUCGCCGUUUAAAGCGGUACGCGAGCUGGGUUCAGAACGUCGUGAGACAGUUCGGUCCCUAUCCUCCGUGGGCGCAGGAGAAUCGAUGGAGGCUGCCCCCAGUACGAGAGGACCGGGGUGGACGCACCUCCGGUGAACCGGUUGUCGACCAACGGCACGGCCGGGUAGCCGCGUGCGGCGCGGAUAACCGCUGAAGGCAUCUAAGCGGGAAGCCGUUCCAGGGAUUAGUUCUCCUUCCGGUAAGGGCCCAGGUAGACUACCUGGUCGAUAGACGGCAGGUGCAAGGACGGCGACGUCCUCAGCCGAGCCGCACUAAUCGCCCGAGCUCUUCCGGAA